GGUUGGCAACCGUUUGUAUCGUCCAUUGUAGCACGUGUGUAGCCCAGGUCAUAAGGGGCAUGAUGAUUUGACGUCAUCCCCACCUUCCUCCGGUUUAUCACCGGCAGUCUCCUUAGAGUGCCCAACUAAAUGAUGGCAACUAAGAACAAGGGUUGCGCUCGUUGCGGGACUUAACCCAACAUCUCACGACACGAGCUGACGACAACCAUGCACCACCUGUCACCGUUGUCCCCGAAGGGAAAACUGUAUCUCUACAGUGGUCAAUGGGAUGUCAAGACCUGGUAAGGUUCUUCGCGUUGCUUCGAAUUAAACCACAUGCUCCACCGCUUGUGCGGGCCCCCGUCAAUUCCUUUGAGUUUCAGUCUUGCGACCGUACUCCCCAGGCGGAGUGCUUAAUGCGUUAGCUGCAGCACUGAGGGGCGGAAACCCCCCAACACUUAGCACUCAUCGUUUACGGCGUGGACUACCAGGGGUAUCUAAUCCUGUUUGCUCCCCACGCUUUCGCGCCUCAGUGUCAGUUACAGACCAGACAGUCGCCUUCGCCACUGGUGUUCCUCCAAAUCUCUACGCAUUUCACCGCUACACUUGGAAUUCCACUAUCCUCUUCUGCACUCAAGUUCCCCCAGUUUCC
rnacentral:rRNA from 1 species